rnacentral:rRNA from 1 species
GAGCAGGUGCUGCACGGCUGUCGUCAGCUCGUGCCGUGAGGUGUUAGGUUAAGUCCUGUAACGAGCGCAACCCUUACAGCCAGUUACAAGUGUCUGGCAGGACUGCCGGUGUGAAGCCGGAGGAAGGUGGGGAUGACGUCAAGUCAGCAUGGCCUUUAUGUCCAGGGCUACACACACGCUACAAUGGGCGGUACAGAGGGAAGCGAGACUGCGAAGUGGAGCGGAUCUCAGAAAGCCGUUCGUAGUUCGGAUUGCAGGCUGCAACCCGCCUGCAUGAAGCCGGAGUUGCUAGUAACCGCAGGUCAGCCACACUGCGGUCGAAUACGUUCCCGGGCCUU